UAUGAUGUGGUACCACAUGGGUGCAUAUAUAGGAAAGGCAUCGAAAUUUGCCGAAUCGCUCAUGUUAUAAUCUUCUACAACCUAGGUCUCUGCGUUCCUUCAUCUGGCUUAUGUUCUUCAUGUAGCAUUCAGAUCGCAUGA
rnacentral:rRNA from 1 species